AUUGAACGCUGGCGGCAGGCCUAACACAUGCAAGUCGAACGGCAGCACAGAAGAGCUUGCUCUUUGGGUGGCGAGUGGCGGACGGGUGAGUAACACGUAGGAAUCUACCCAGUAGUGGGGGAUAACCUGGGGAAACCCAGGCUAAUACCGCAUACGCCCUGAGGGGGAAAGCGGGGGAUCUUCGGACCUCGCGCUAUUGGAUGAGCCUGCGUCGGAUUAGCUAGUUGGUGGGGUAAGGGCCACCAAGGCGACGAUCCGUAGCUGGUCUGAGAGGAUGACCAGUCACACCGGAACUGAGACACGGUCCGGACUCCUACGGGAGGCAGCAGUGGGGAAUAUUGGACAAUGGGCGCAAGCCUGAUCCAGCCAUGCCGCGUGGGUGAAGAAGGCCUCGGUUGUAAGCC
rnacentral:rRNA from 1 species